GCACAGUGGUGCAUUGGCUAGCACAGUUACCUUACAAUGAGGAGGUUCUGGGUUUGAGCCUCAGCUGGCA